rnacentral:rRNA from 1 species
UACGUAGGGUGCGAGCGUUGUCCGGAAUUAUUGGGCGUAAAGAGCUCGUAGGCGGUCUGUCGCGUCUGCUGUGAAAACCCGAGGCUCAACCUCGGGCCUGCAGUAGGUACGGGCAGACUAGAGUGCGGUAGGGGAGAAUGGAAUUCCUGGUGUAGCGGUGGAAUGCGCAGAUAUCAGGAGGAACACCGAUGGCGAAGGCAGUUCUCUGGGCCGUAACUGACGCUGAGGAGCGAAAGCGUGGGGAGCGAACAGG